CUGGUAGAAUCAGGCUUCUCUCCCAACUCUCCUUCUCGGGGCCCUGGCAUGGGGAGGAGGGGAGUGGGGGGGAGGCUGCAGGCCGAGGCCCAGCCCCUCUCGCGGCCUUGGCAGACAGGCGUUUCUGGACCGGGUCUCUGCUCCCACCAGCUGUGUCCGCUUUGCACCCCCUCAGGCCCAGCAGGCAGUGGGCGGGUCCAGAGGGAGUCCGUUUUCCAGUGCCACUGCCAAGAUGCACCGCAGAAGGCAGUCCUAGGACCCCCGCUCCAACGUCCCGCCCACCUCCUCUGCCCUCUGGGGUCAGCUGUCAAGAUGCUGACAGACAGGCACGGGGAAUGCAGAAGAGCAGUCAGCCCCUGGGGGGACUCUCCUCCCCAUCCCUGCCCACCUAGCCAGCUCUGCCAACACCACCCACGCCUGCAGUCUGGGAUCCGCAGCCCCUCCGCAGGCCCGCAGAGGCUGGUGAGGAAACCGAGGCACAGAGAGGUUAAGUGAGUUGCCCACGGUCACCCAGAGAACGAGCCCCAUGCAGUGCCUGCAUUUAAACCCUCAUGCUGACUCCAAGAGAAGGCGAAAGUCGUCCACCUCACCCGUACCGGAAGAGGAAAGGGGUGACAGGGGGCAGCAGCCCAGAGCACCUCGGGAAGUGACUGGGGGCAGGGCCGGGACCAGGUCAGGCAAGCAAGGAGCAGAAGGUAAGGAGGCUCUCAGGGUCCUGCGCGUGUGGCCCGAGCCCCAGGGUUUUCGUUUGUGUGUGUGCAUCAAUUUAUUGUAUAAAUCUUCAAGAUCUCUUCCAAUUUUCCAUCAAUACAUUUCCUGUAUCUCGUGGAAAUGGUCCGGGAUCCACACAGGCGUUCACUGGGCAGGAGAACAAGGUUGGAAGAAGGGGGGAAUGGACUGGGCUGCUCCAGCCAUAGCUGAUUUUCUCUUUUUUUAAUUGAGGUGAAAUUCACAUAACAUAAAAUUAACCAUUUUAAGUGUACAUUUCAGCGGUGUUUAGUCUAUUCACACUGUUGUACAACCAUUGCCUUUAUCUAGUUCCGAAACGUUUCCAUCACCCCCAAGGAGACCUGUGCCCAUUCAGCAGUCACUCCCUGCUCCUCCCUACCCCCCCCCCCCCCCCCCCCCCGCAGCUGCUGGGGCCUCAGGGUUCGCUGGCCUGCUCCUCAGUUCCUGCCCUGGGUGACCCCCCAUUGGGACAGGAGGCCACACGUCCCUCGGGAGGGCCAGUCCUCUGAGUCGCAUCCUCAGCUGGUGGCUUUCCCUCGCCUUCUGAGACGGCCUGGGGCUGAGCUGUGGGCAGCUGUGGACACUGUCUCCCAGGACACACACACACACACACUGCCAGGCCCACACCCGCCGGGCAUGUGGCAGGGGACGGCUCGGGCCCCAGCUCCCCGCCCCAGAGGCCCUGGCUCUGCUCCCCAUGGGUGCCCACACCCGCGCCUGCCCCCAGAGGAGCGCCAGGAAUCCCAAGCAGCAGAGAUGGGUGGGGAGGAGGGAGGGACCAGCUGUCUCGGGGACACAGAGAAUUCCUCCGGGAGCCAGUCUGCGGUCACAUGAGCCUGGAGAAGGUGCAGCAAGGGGCUUACGGCCCAGCCCCAGUCCAUAUAGAGACCAAGAAUGUUCUGAGUGUUUCUGGGGAGGAAGAGAACGACUCCACAUAGUUCCUUAGGAAUUUUAAUUGUGUGCUUUGAAUCUGCCUCCCAUUCCUGCCUCCCCCCACCCCAGCCUGCUCGAGGGGACACUUGUCAGAGCGCCCCGGGACCCACGGAGCAAACAGCCAGGACUUUGUGUGAUGGUGACGCACUGACAUUUCUGGGCAAAGAAAAAAUGCAGCCACCUCCUUCCCAGCGCCUUGUCGCCUGCCGCUGGCUGGGGGGUGGGGGUGGGGGGGUGCCCGGGGAGCCACCUGGGGGCCCGUGCCAGCUCAUCCUCACUGCGUUACCGUGGGCAAGAGACCUAGCCUCUCUGUGCCUCAGCUUCCUCACCUGUAAAAUGGGGCUGGUAACUUCAAAGGACGGGUGCGGGAUGACCUGAGAUGCAGGGUCAAGCAGUGGGCACGCCACAAGCAUUCAGGAUGUCAUCUCCGAUUAGUAGUAUUAUCGUCGCUUUUUGUUAGCAGAGAACGGAGAAAUGCUGCUCCCCCAGCUCAGCCGCUUACUGAGUAAGGCUGUGGGGGCCUCUGUUCCUUUAGACCACCCUGCAGGGCUGCCCUUGCCAAGGGCCUUGCCAGACCCCUCUUGGACUCCAGGUCCACCCUAAAUGAUUGCUUUUCCUUUAUUCGGGAGGCUGUUCAGACCCCGACAUCACACAGCUGGGCUUAAAAGUCUUGCCUCAGUCAUUUAUUCGCUGUGUGACUACGGGCAAUUUCCUUAACCUCUCUGGGCCUCCAUUUCCACUCCCACAAAAUGACAUGACAAACAGAACCCAUGUUGCAGGGCCGAGUGAUGAUUCAAUGAGAUAGUACUUUUUAAAAUGGCCUGGGACAGAGUAAGCACUCAAUAAAUGUGAGGCAUUUAAUACGUACUAACGAAUC
rnacentral:lncRNA from 1 species